UCGCACACUCUCGUACACUGCAGUUCCGAGCGCGCCGCCCACCUCCACCUGACGACCGCUCGCCACGUGGUGUUGGCC
rnacentral:sRNA from 14 species